rnacentral:rRNA from 1 species
CGUAGUCGAUGGAUAACGGGUUGAUAUUCCCGUACCGGUGAAAAACCGCCCAUACUGAUAUUGUGAUGCUAACCAUGCGAAGCAUGAUGUGCAGGCUUUUGUUUGUGUGUUGUGUGGGUUGUGGGACCCGAUCUUUGGAGGUAAACGUGUUAACAGGUGUGACGCAGGAAGGUAGCCAAGCCACGCGAUGGUUGUCGUGGUCUAAGCGUGUAGGGUUGUCGGUUGUUAAAUGCGCCGGCUGUGUGCCUGAGACGUGAUGGGACCCCGUUUUUGGGGGAUUUGGUGAUCCUAUGCUGCCGAGAAAAGCAUCGGCGUGAGGUUUUAGCCGCCCGUACCCUAAACCGACACAGGUGAUCAGGUAGAGAAUACUAAGGCGAUCGAGAGAAUCAUGGUUAAGGAACUCGGCAAAAUGCCCCCGUAACUUCGGGAGAAGGGGGACCUUGAGCGUGAUGGGCACUUGCUGCCUGGAGCGUGUAUGGGUCGCAGAGACCAGGGGGAAGCGACUGUUUAUCAAAAACACAGGUCCGUGCGAAGUCGUAAGACGAUGUAUACGGACUGACUCCUGCCCGGUGCUGGAAGGUUAAGAGGAUUGGUUAGCCCUUUUGGGCGAAGCUGAGAAUUUAAGCCCCAGUAAACGGCGGUGGUAACUAUAACCAUCCUAAGGUAGCGAAAUUCCUUGUCGGGUAAGUUCCGACCUGCACGAAUGGAGUAACGACUUCCCUACUGUCUCAACCAUGAACUCGGCGAAAUUGCAGUACGAGUAAAGAUGCUCGUUUCGCGCAGCAGGACGGAAAGACCCCGUGACCUUUACUAUAGUUUGGUAUUGGUGUUUGGGUUGGCUUGUGUAGGAUAGGUGGGAGACUGUGAAGCUGUCACGCUAGUGGUGGUGGAGUCGUUGUUGAAAUACCACUCUGGUCAAUCUGGAUGUCUAACUUCGGGCCAUGAUCUGGUUCAGGGACAGUGCCUGAUGGGUAGUUUAACUGGGGCGGUUGCCUCCUAAAGUGUAACGGAGGCGCCCAAAGGUUCCCUCAGCCUGGUUGGCAAUCAGGUGUUGAGUGUAAGUGCACAAGGGAGCUUGACUGUGAGACUGGCAGGUCGAGCAGGGACGAAAGUCGGGACUAGUGAUCCGGCGGUACGUUGUGGAACGGCCGUCGCUCAACGGAUAAAAGGUACCUCGGGGAUAACAGGCUGAUCUUGCCCAAGAGUCCAUAUCGACGGCAUGGUUUGGCACCUCGAUGUCGGCUCGUCGCAUCCUGGGGCUGGAGUCGGUCCCAAGGGUUGGGCUGUUCGCCCAUUAAAGCGGUACGCGAGCUGGGUUCAGAACGUCGUGAGACAGUUCGGUCCCUAUCCGUCG